rnacentral:lncRNA from 1 species
GUUAUGCUAAGCACUUUUGUUGGUGUCUCUAAUUGUUCUAUAUAUAGGCAAGUUACAUUUCAUUCGCUGUUUAACUUCUCUCAGAAGAACAAAUUCAACUGAAUUCACGUCAGCUUGCAUUUGCAGAGCACAUACAAUGUACUACCAGAUGACAUGCUGGACAGUGGUUACGAAAAGGGUAUGCACGUGCUCCCCUUCUUAAGGAGCUCCCACGCAGGAAAGUGGAACAAAUAUGCAAAAGAAACCCAUUUCAAAACGUGAGGAUAAUGUAAGUACGGAUGCAAAGAAGACACAGAUGAGGAAGCAACCUCUUCUCUCUGGGAGGAGUAAGGAGAAGCUACAGUGAAGAAGUGGUCUUUGAUCUGGGCCCAGGGUUUUGUUUUGCAAGAUGUUUUGUUUUGUUUUGUUUUACAGGACCAGGAAUGCAAAGGGAAAAUAUAUUUCAGAAGAAGCUAACAAAAGCAGUAGACAAUGCAAAUGCUUAGUAUAUCUGGGGGAAGGCAUGCACAUCAACAGAGAUAUAGACACUGCCUACACUUUAAGCCCCUCAGGAAGAAGUGCCAAAGUGCACUCUUUCUACGAAUGUUAUAUAUUAUGGGACCACCUACCUCCAUGUAUAUAUAACCUCUACACACAUGGCCAAAAGUGGCCUCUGAAGGCUUCUUCGAG